UACGAAGGGGGGCUAGCGUUGCUCGGAAUGACUGGGCGUAAAGCGUGCGCAGGCGGUGAUGUAAGACCGAUGUGAAAUCCCCGGGCUCAACCUGGGAACUGCAUCUGUGACUGCAUCGCUGGAGUGCGGCAGAGGGGGGAUGGAAUUCCGCGUGUAGCAGUGGAAAUGCGUAGAUAUGCGGAGGAACACCGAUGGCGAAGGCAAUCCCCUGGGCCUGCACUGACGCUCAUGCACG
rnacentral:rRNA from 1 species